rnacentral:miRNA from 1 species
GACGUCGAAUAUGGACGUCAUAAACACCAAAGUUGAUCCUGUUUAUGACGUCGAAUAUCGACGUCAUAAACACAAAACUUGUUCGUGUUUAUUACGUCGAAUAUCGACGUCAUAAACACCAAAGUUGAUCGUGUUUAUCACGUCAAAUAUCGACGUC